ACAGUGAUAAAAGUCUAUACAGGUCUUGGAACGAUACAGAGAAGAUUAGCAUGGCCUCUGCGCAAGGAUGACACGCAAAUUCGUGAAGCGUUCCAUAUUUAA